ACGUGUCCUGUAGUGGGGGAUAGCCCGGCGAAAGCCGGAUUAAUACCGCAUACGAUCUACGGAAGAAAGCGGGGGAUCCUUCGGGACCUCGCGCUAGAGGGGCGGCCGAUGGCAGAUUAGCUAGUUGGUGGGGUAAAGGCCUACCAAGGCGACGAUCUGUAGCUGGUCUGAGAGGACGACCAGCCACACUGGGACUGAGACACGGCCCACACUCCUACGGGAGGCAGCAGUGGGGAAUUUUGGACAAUGGGGGCAACCCUGAUCCAGCAAUGCCGCGUGUGUGAAGAAGGCCUUCGGGUUGUAAAGCACUUUUGUCCGGAAAGAAAACCUCUUGGUUAAUACCUGAGGGGGAUGACGGUACCGGAAGAAUAAGCACCGGCUAACUACGUGCCAGCAGCCGCGGUAAUACGUAGGGUGCGAGCGUUAAUCGGAAUUACUGGGCGUAAAGCGUGCGCAGGCGGUCUGUUAAGACCGAUGUGAAAUCCCCGGGCUUAACCUGGGAACUGCAUUGGUGACUGGCAGGCUUUGAGUGUGGCAGAGGGAGGUAGAAUUCCACGUGUAGCAGUGAAAUGCGUAGAGAUGUGGAGGAAUACCGAUGGCGAAGGC
rnacentral:rRNA from 1 species